rnacentral:misc_RNA from 1 species
CCAAACUUGGUCAUUUAGAGGAAGUAAAAGUCGUAACAAGGUCUCCGUUGGUGAACCAGCGGAGGGAUCAUUACAGAGUUGUAAAACUCCAAACCCAUGUGAACAUACUUCGUGUUGCCUCGGCGGCGAGCGUAGUGCUCGGGAGGUGCCUACCCGGUACCUACCCUAGAGCUACCCGGUAGUAAUCUACCCGGUAGUUACCCUGGAGGGACUUGCGCAUCCGCCGAAGGACCACUAAACUCUUGUUUCUAUGUGGCACGUCUGAGUUAUUAUACUUAAUAAGUCAAAACUUUCAACAACGGAUCUCUUGGUUCUGGCAUCGAUGAAGAACGCAGC